UACGUAGGUUGCAAGCGUUAAUCGGAAUUACUGGGCGUAAAGCGUGCGCAGGCGGUUCGGAAAGAGAGGUGUGAAAUCCCAGGGCUUAACCUUGGAACUGCACUUCUAACUACCGGGCUAGAGUACGUCAGAGGGGGGUAGAAUUCCACGUGUAGCAGUGAAAUGCGUAGAGAUGUGGAGGAAUACCGAUGGCGAAGGCAGCCCCCUGGGAUGAUACUGACGCUCAUGCACGAAAGCGUGGGGAGCAAACAGG
rnacentral:rRNA from 1 species